AGCGAACGCUGGCGGCAGGCCUAACACAUGCAAGUCGAGCGCCCCGCAAGGGGAGCGGCAGACGGGAGAGUAACACGUGGGAACGUACCCUUUGGUUCGGAACAACCCAGGGAAACUUGGGCUAAUACCGGAUAAGCCCUCACGGGGAAAGAUUCAUCGCCGAAGGAUCGGCCCGCGUCUGAUUAGCUAGUUGGUGGGGUAAUGGCCCACCAAGGCGACGAUCAGUAGCUGGUCUGAGAGGAUGAUCAGCCUCACUGGGACUGAGACACGGCCCAGACUCCUACGGGAGGCAGCAGUGGGGAAUAUUGGACAAUGGGCGCAAGCCUGAUCCAGCCAUGCCGCGUGGGUGAUGAAGGCCCUAGGGUUGUAAAGCCCUUUCGGCGGGGAAGAUAAUGACGGUACCCGCAGAAGAAGCCCCGGCUAACUUCGUGCCAGCCGCCGCUGUAA
rnacentral:rRNA from 1 species